UUGAACGCUGGCGGCAGGCCUAACACAUGCAAGUCGAACGGUAACAGGAAGCAGCUUGCUGCUUCGCUGACGAGUGGCGGACGGGUGAGUAAUGUCUGGGAAACUGCCUGAUGGAGGGGGAUAACUACUGGAAACGGUAGCUAAUACCGCAUAACGUCGCAAGACCAAAGAGGGGGACCUUCGGGCCUCUUGCCAUCGGAUGUGCCCAGAUGGGAUUAGCUAGUAGGUGGGGUAACGGCUCACCUAGGCGACGAUCCCUAGCUGGUCUGAGAGGAUGACCAGCCACACUGGAACUGAGACACGGUCCAGACUCCUACGGGAGGCAGCAGUGGGGAAUAUUGCACAAUGGGCGCAAGCCUGAUGCAGCCAUGCCGCGUGUAUGAAGAAGGCCUUCGGGUUGUAAAGUACUUUCAGCGGGGAGGAAGGUGUUGAGGUUAAUAACCUCAGCAAUUGACGUUACCCGCAGAAGAAGCACCGGCUAACUCCGUGCCAGCAGCCGCGGUAAUACGGAGGGUGCAAGCGUUAAUCGGAAUUACUGGGCGUAAAGCGCACGCAGGCGGUCUGUCAAGUCGGAUGUGAAAUCCCCGGGCUCAACCUGGGAACUGCAUUCGAAACUGGCAGGCUAGAGUCUUGUAGAGGGGGGUAGAAUUCCAGGUGUAGCGGUGAAAUGCGUAGAGAUCUGGAGGAAUACCGGUGGCGAAGGCGGCCCCCUGGACAAAGACUGACGCUCAGGUGCGAAAGCGUGGGGAGCAAACAGGAUUAGAUACCCCUGGUAGUCCACGCCGUAAACGAUGUCGACUUGGAGGUUGUGCCCUUGAGGCGUGGCUUCCGGAGCUAACGCGUUAAGUCGACCGCCUGGGGAGUACGGCCGCAAGGUUAAAACUCAAAUGAAUUGACGGGGGCCCGCACAAGCGGUGGAGCAUGUGGUUUAAUUCGAUGCAACGCGAAGAACCUUACCUACUCUUGACAUCCAGAGAACUUUCCAGAGAUGGAUUGGUGCCUUCGGGAACUCUGAGACAGGUGCUGCAUGGCUGUCGUCAGCUCGUGUUGUGAAAUGUUGGGUUAAGUCCCGCAACGAGCGCAACCCUUAUCCUUUGUUGCCAGCGGUUCGGCCGGGAACUCAAAGGAGACUGCCAGUGAUAAACUGGAGGAAGGUGGGGAUGACGUCAAGUCAUCAUGGCCCUUACGAGUAGGGCUACACACGUGCUACAAUGGCGCAUACAAAGAGAAGCGACCUCGCGAGAGCAAGCGGACCUCAUAAAGUGCGUCGUAGUCCGGAUUGGAGUCUGCAACUCGACUCCAUGAAGUCGGAAUCGCUAGUAAUCGUGGAUCAGAAUGCCACGGUGAAUACGUUCCCGGGCCUUGUACUCACCGCCCGUCAA
rnacentral:rRNA from 1 species